GUCUGCCACAGCCUACAGAUAUCCCCCUUCUCUUUCCAUGGGCAGACACUGCUGAUGCAUUGCUGAACUCUAUACUGCAGAUCCUAAAUGGAGUCUAAAAUUCUUCUCUAGGAACCCACUAACAAGUGAAGUUCAUGUGUGAAAUGAAAACUAUUUGCUAUUCCAUAUACUGAAUUGCACAAACUGAGAGCAGUGAGUCAAUUGGAGCAAACUGAAGAGCAUCCAUGAGAAAUGAAAGCGCAUUUCCUUUCCCUGCAGAUGGGACACUGGAAAAGGAAUCAAAAGCAGUGGGUUCAAGUACCUCUUAAUAGUGAGGUGAUUCGGGAUUGCAAUUUACCUUAAAAAAGAUUAAAAGCAGAACAUCCAAAACAUUGAUGGUUUCUUCAGUCUUUAAAAUUACAUAGUUAGUGUGGCUCAUGUGGCUUAAUGCUCUUCCUGAUGAUGAGCUGAGCCAGAAAGCACUGUACAGCCAACUACAGGACCAGAGGGAGCAGAACGAGGGGAGACUAGAAGAUCUCCAACUUGUGCUGUGUGUGGAAUAGUAGGAUUGUGUGUAAGGAGUUCUUGUAGUACUCAGAAAUAACACAACUGGCAAACAAACUCAAUGCUCUCCUGACCCUUGUGAAUGUGAGUAACUCAGGCUUGACAUUUUACCAACAAGCCCAAAUCAGAAAGGUUAUACUGCUGUGGGAAACAUGACAUUGAAACAAGCUCAGCAUGACUUAGACUGGGCCAGAUGGAAUUCUGCUUUCAGGAAGCCUUGAACAAAUAGCAACUACCUGAUUAUAGACUGAAACCUCCACAAACUCAAUUCUCCAACCAGAUGAUGAGAAAUGACAAGGAUGUUGCAGAGGAAUGCUCACAUCAGGUGAAGGCCUGCUAACAUGGUUACAAGUUCAAGUCUUGAAGAAGGCUGUAACUUGCUUCUAGCACUUGGAAUCUGGAGGAAUGAGGUUACAUUUGUGGUCCUGUCUUGGGCCCUCAAUCAAGAGCUAUUGCAAGAGCCGUCCCCAGCACUGAGGAGGCGAGCCUUCUGGGCCACUGUACCAUCACCUAACACUGAGGACCAGCACUAAGGAGACAUGCCUGUCUGGUGGACCGGGGUUCUGUGUAACAUGGCCAGGAGCCUGGAGUUUGUAGUUGGAAGGUCUAAAAUGAAGAGUCCUGCAUCCAUUGGGUUAGCAACAGAAUCUGUUCUUGUCCCAGUAAUCCAGCUAGGAAGGAUGGUCGUAGUACUCAGGAUUAAGUGAAAAG
rnacentral:lncRNA from 1 species